ensembl:lncRNA
UCGGGCACAAUGAAUUUGUUCUGCUCUAUGUUUUAUUUUGGUUUGUGUUUCAUUCAGAAAUGGAAUAAACCUCAGACCCAAAUUCAACUUAGAAAAGUAUGUCUGUUUUUGCUUUUGAAUUGAAAGAAAAAAGGGGGAAAAAAAUCACUCACCCUCUCCUUUCAAUCAAAAAGCAAAUAAAUACCAAGGAGAAGUCUUCUCACUUCAGCACCCUGGACCCUUAGGAGUCAAAAAGGAAGGAUCCUGACUACACAAGCUGUGAUGAAUUUGAUUUGACAACAGACAGCAACAAACACCUGUGUCGAGGAGGAAGUUUCAGAAUAUCUCAUCAAUGCUCAGAAGUUAAGUGACUUUUAAAAGAGUUAUAUGGAUGUUGAAAUAAGGAACUUUUUAUUUAAUAAUAGUUCACCUGUGGUGGAGGGACUAUGAGGUCAAGAGGACACUGAAAAAUUCUCCAGUGUGAAAUUCUGCAAAUUCAAUAGUAGCCUUAAUUCAGAGGAAGAUGAAAAUUCAAACUUGGAUGGGAAGACUUCACGUGACAGAGUGAAGAGAGGGGAGCACUUCCAGUUGGAGCUGUGGGGCAUCAGCCACUCUCCCACUUCCUGUGAAGCUCUGCAAACAGCUGUUGGAGAAGUCAGGUACCUGUAUUCUGCACGGACUGCUGGGCAGCGCUGACACUCUGGAGAAGGUCUGCCUCUGCACUUUCCUGGUUCUAUGCAGGCAGAUGAGUACCACAGCUGUAACUGAGGCACACGGCAAUAAACACAGUGGAGCCAAUUUCUACGAUGGCGAGAGAGGGGGCAUCAGAGUUGACAACAAUGACAAGGAUCCAAGGACCGUCCUUCUGACAAGUUUCAGGUCUUCUUGAAGGUAAUGCAUUGUAUGAGUGGUUAAUUUCACGAGGAAUAUUGAAUUCCAGGUAUCGGAAGGCACAUAUUUCCCAGGAUGUGGUAUGUAUGUAUGUGUGUAUAUGGACAUAUUUUAAUAUAAAGUGUCUUAUAAAUUUCACAUUGUGUUUUGCUUUACUGUUAUUUCAAAAGAUUUAAGUGAAUGUCGAAUAGCACUCAAUUUCCUGAAAUGAUUAAAUUCAGUCUCUGAAGAAUCUGGGGAACAGGCCUGUAAUGACAUUUUGAUGACUUUCAUUUUAAGGUGUAAUAGAAAUUGAGUAAAAUAUUUUAAUAGCUAUUGUCUAAUAUCUCAUUCCAAAUACAAUGUUUUUAUUGCUCAUUCUAGCUUACAAUUUUCUGGUGAUAAUAAUGUUGGCUGCUGAUUGUUUCUUACAUAGAAAUCAUUUUAUCCUUAUGUAGAAGUAUUUUAGAAAUGUCUUCAUGAAUUUAUCUCAGCUGAAGCAAUUGUACUGAACUCUUGAGACAAAAUAGUAUUUCCUGAUUCCUCCCAUUUUAAUUUGGUACUUCCUUACAAUAUUUAGGUGUAUCUUAAAGGAACAUAUUAAAUAUUACAUAUGAUAGUUUGUGGUUUAAAGAAGAAAAAACAGUCAUUCAUAUAAGUCAGGGAAGGCUGAGGAAAGAGAAGGAAUAAAUAUUGUUACUGGCCAUUAUCA